rnacentral:rRNA from 1 species
ACCGAGAUUCCCCCAGUAGCGGCGAGCGAACGGGGAGCAGCCCAGAGUCUGAAUCAGCAUGUGUGUCAGUGGAAGCGUCUGGAAAGUCGCAGGGUACAGGGUGAUACUCCCGUACACGAAGAUACACCUGCUGUGAACUCGAAGAGUAGGGCGGGACACGUGGUAUCCUGUCUGAAUAUGGGGGGACCAUCCUCCAAGGCUAAAUACUCCUGACUGACCGAUAGUGAACCAGUACCGUGAGGGAAAGGCGAAAAG